ACGAACGCUGGCGGCAGGCCUAACACAUGCAAGUCGAGCGCCCUUUCGGGGGAGCGGCGGACGGGUGAGUAACGCGUGGGAAUAUGCCCUUCUCUACGGAAUAGCCUCGGGAAACUGAGAGUAAUACCGUAUACGCCCUUUGGGGGAAAGAUUUAUCGGGGAAGGAUUAGCCCGCGUUGGAUUAGGUAGUUGGUGGGGUAAUGGCCUACCAAGCCGACGAUCCAUAGCUGGUUUGAGAGGAUGAUCAGCCACACUGGGACUGAGACACGGCCCAGACUCCUACGGGAGGCAGCAGUGGGGAAUCUUAGACAAUGGGGCAACCCUGAUCUAGCCAUGCCGCGUGAGUGAUGAAGGCCUUGGGGUUGUAAAGCUCUUUCAGCUGGGAAGAUAAUGACGGUACCAGCAGAAGAAGCCCCGGCUAACUCCGUG
rnacentral:rRNA from 1 species